CGACCUCAGCUCAGGAGAGAACACCGGUUGAGUUUAAGCAUAUAAUUAAAUGGAGGAAAAGAAACUUACAAGGAUUCCCCUAGUAGUGGUGAGUGAACUGGGAAGAGCCUCGCAUGAAAAAUAGGCAGGAACGUCACCUGAAUUGUAGUUUGUAGAAGCAUCCUCAGUGGCGGACCUAGGCCAAGUUUGGAAGGGGGCGCCUAAGAGGGUGAUAGCCCCAUUAGCCCGGAACCCUGCCGCAUCAUAAGGCAUUGUCAGCGAGUCGGGUUGUUUGGGAAUGCAACCCUAAUUGGGUGGUAAAUUUCGUCCAAGGCUAAAUAUGGGCGAGAGACCAAUACCGAACAAGUACCGCGAGGGAAAUAUGAAAAGGAAUUUGAAAAGAGAGUUAAAGAGUGCUUGAAAUUGCUGGGACGGAAGCAGAUGGAGGCUGUCGAUGUGUCUCGGUCGGAUGUGGAACGGCUCAGGCUCGUCCUUCACUUGACUUGAGAUGCAAACCAACACGAGUUGCUGCAUCGUCACAAGUGCGGCCAUAUUACUGCUUGUCGGUUUUCCACUACGGUGGUCGAGGAAUGAAGCGUGCACCCUUAUGGUGGGCCAUGUGCACCUGCACGCUCAUGGUGUUGGUUGGCGGGCAUUCCAUUCAACUUGUCUUGAAACACAGACCAAGGAGUCUAACUUGUGUGCGAGUUGACGGGUUUGAAAACCUGUGAGGCGCAAGGAAACUGACGAGCGAGAUCCCCUCUCUGGCGGGGUGCAUCUUCGACCGACCUUGAGCUUAUGUGAAGGGUUCGAGUGUGAGCACACUUGUUGGAACUCAAAAGAUAGUGAACUAUGCUUGAGCAGGGCAAAGCCAAAGGAAACUCUGGUGGAGGCUCGUAGCGAUACUAAUGUGCAAAUCAUUCAUCUGACUUGGGUAUAGGGGUGAAAGACUAAUAGAACCAUCUAGUAGCUAGUUUCCUCUAAACUUUCCCUCAGGAUAGUUGGAGCUCACGCAUGAGUUUUAUUGGGUAAAGCAAAUGAUUAGAGGCAUCGGGGGUGUAUUGCCCUUGACCUAUUCUCAAACUUUAAAUAUGUAAGUGGGUGCAGCUACUCCAUUGAGCUACACCAUGGAAUCGAGAGCUCCAAGUGGGCCAUUUUUGGUAAGCAGAACUAGUGAUGCGGGAUGAACCGAAAGUUGAGUUACGGUGUCGAAUUGUGCACUAAGCUAGAUCCCACAAAGGUUAUUGAUUGAUUAAGGUAGUAGGACAGUGAUCAUGAAAGUCGAAAUCUGCUAGGGAGUGUGUAACAACCCACCUUCCAAAUAAACUAGCCUUGAAAAUGUAUGGUGCUGAAGCACGCAACAUAUACUCGACCAUCGGAGCAAUUGUCUGGCUCUGAUGAGUAGGAGGAUGUGGGGGUCGUUGAGAAACCUCAGGCAUGAGCUUGGGUGGAUCAAUCCCCGAUGCAGAUCUUGGUGGUAGCAGAAAAUAUUCAAAUGAGAACUUUGAAGACUGAAGUGGGGAAAGGUUCCAUGUGAACAACACUUGGACAUGGGUUAGUCGAUCCUAAGAGAUGGGGAAGCCUUGUAUCAAGGGUGUACUUUGCACGAGCAUCGAAAUGGAAUCAGGUUAAUAUUCCCAAACUGAGACAUGGUGGUGGGCGGAAACACUAGGAAAUCCAGAGACGUCGUCGGGGGCCUUGGGAAGAGUUAUCCUUUUUUUUUAAUAGCUUGCCCACCCUGGAAUCGGUUCACCCAGAGAUAGGGUCCAGUAGCUGAAAGCACAUCUUGUAGUGUCUAGUGUGCCCUCGGUGGCCCUUGAAAAUUUAGAGGACCGAGUACCGUUCAUUCCCAAUCAUACUCAUAACUACAUCAGGUCUCCAAGGUGAACAACCUUUGGUCAAUAGAACAAUGUAAGUAAGGGAAGUCGACAAAGCAGAUCCAUAACUUUAGGAAAAGGAUUGGCUCUGAGGGCUAGGCCUAGGGGUCUGUGCCCUCAACUCAUGGGCUGUUGGUAGUCUGCCUGAGCUACUCUCACGGCCAGGGCGGGCAGUCACGUGCUGAUUGGGCUAUGGGCGUAGAAUGCCCCCUGCCGGGGGCUUUUCCCUAGGCGUCAAACAAUCGACUCAGAAUUAGUACGGACAAAGGGAAUCCAACUGUUUAAUUAAAACAAAGCAUUGUGAUGGUCCCUGUGGAUGCUGACACAAUGUGAUUUCUAUCUAGUGCUCUGAAUGUCAAAGUGAAGAAAUUCAACCAAGCGCAGGUAAACGACGGGAGUAACUAUGACUCUCUUAAGGUAGCCAAAUGCCUUGUCAUCUAAUUAGUGACGCGCAUGAAUGGAUUAACGAGAUUCCCACUGUCCCUAUCUACUAUCUCGCAAAACCACAGCCAAGGGAUCAGGCUUGGCAGAAUCAGUAGGGAAAGAAGACCCUGUUGAGCUUAACUCUAGUCCGACUUUGUGAAAUGACUUGAGAGGUGUAGAAUAAGUGGGAUCCAUUUUCAGUGCAAGUGAAAUACCACUACUUUUAACGUUAUUUUACUUAUUCUGUGGGGUGGAGAUGGGGAACUGCCCUUGUUUUUCACCUUAAGGCACAUUUUGGUGGGUUGAUCCAGGUGGAACACAUUGUCAAGUGGGGAGUUUGGCUGGGGUGACACAUCAGUUAAAAGAUAACAUAGGUGUCCUAAGAUGAGCUCAAUGAGAACAGAAAUCUCGAGGGUAAAAGCUCAUUUGAUUUUUAUUUUCAUCACGAAUACAAAUCAUGAAAGCGUGGCCUAUCGAUCCUCUAGGUUUUUGGAAUUUGAAGCUAGAGGUGUCAGAAAAUUUACCACGGGGAUAACUGGCUUGUGGUAGCCAAGCAUUCAUAGCGACGUUGCUUUUUGAUCCUUCGAUGUCGGCUCUUCCUAUCAUUGUGAAGCAUAAUUCACCAAGUGUUGGAUUGUUCACCCACCAAUAGGGAAUGUGAGCUGGGUUGAAACCAUCGUGAGAUAGGUUAGUUUAUCCUACUGGUGAACUGCACCGUAAUAGUAAUUCAACUUAGUACGAGAGGAACCAUUGAUUCACACAAUUGGUCAUCGUGCUUGGUUUAAAAGCUAGUGGCGCGAAGCUACCAUGUGUCGAAUUAUGACUGAAUGCCUCUAAGUCAAAAUCCACCCUAGAAGUGGUGCAUGUCACUCUUUUACUAUAUCUCAACCUGCAGUAGGGGCGUCGCUUUGUCACCCCCAGGGGCCCAUGUCAUUUGCAAACCACGACCAUGAAGCAUCUCAGUCGGGGCAGCUUUGAAGUUCAAUUCCAAACGGUUAUUGAGAAGAAUCAAUUUCAGAUGACUUAAAUAUGCGACAGGGCAUUGUAAGCGGCAGAGUGGCCUUCCUGCCAUGAUCCACUGAGAUUCAGC
rnacentral:rRNA from 1 species